GAUGAACGCUGGCGGCGUGCCUAAUACAUGCAAGUCGAGCGAACAGACGAGGAGCUUGCUCCUCUGACGUUAGCGGCGGACGGGUGAGUAACACGUGGAUCACCUACCUAUCAGACUGGGAUAACUUCGGGAAACCGGAUCUAAUACCGGAUAAUAUACUGAACCGCAUGGUUCAAUAGUGAAAGACGGUUUUGCUGUCACUUAUAGAUGGAUCCGCGCCGCAUUAGCUGGUUGGUAAGCUAACGGCUUACCAAGGCAACGAUGCGUAGCCGACCUGAGAGGGUGAUCGGCCACACUGGAGCGGAGACACGGUCAAGACUCCUACGGGAGGCAGCAGUAGGGAAUCUUCCGCAAUGGGCGAAAGCUUGACGGAGCAACGCCGCGUGAGUGAUGAAGGUCUUCGGAUCGUAAAACUCUGUUAUUAGGGAAGAACAAAUGUGUAAGUAACUAUGCACGUCUUGACGGUACCUAAUCAGAAAGCCACGGCUAACUACGUG
rnacentral:rRNA from 1 species